GUCUAUGGCCAUACCACCCUGAACGCGCCCGAUCUCGUCUGAUCUCGGAAGCUAAGCUGGGUCGGGCCUGGUUAGUACUUGGAUGGGAGAAUGCACGGGCUGCAGCUG
rfam:Heterocephalus glaber contig133433, whole genome shotgun sequence.